rnacentral:rRNA from 1 species
CUUGAAACACGGACCAAGGAGUUCAUCGUGUACGCGAGUCUUUGGGUUAUUGAAACCUUUAGAGGCGAAAUGAAAGUAAACGAAAGUUAACUUUCUGAGGGAGGAUGGGCGUAAGCACCUUUUGGGCAACGCUCCGCACUCCCGGGGCGCUCUAAACUCCAUUGGAGUAGGGGCGCACCUAGAGCGUACGCGAUGAUACCCGAAAGAUGGUGAACUAUGCCUGGCCAGGACGAAGCCAGGGGAAACCCUGGUGGAGGUCUGCAGCGAUUCUGACGUGCAAAUCGAUCGUCGGAGCUAGGUAUAGGGGCGAAAGACCAAUCGAACCAUCUAGUAGCUGGUUCCCUCUGAAGUUUCCCUCAGGAUA